rnacentral:rRNA from 1 species
AUUGAACGCUGGCGGCAGGCCUAACACAUGCAAGUCGAACGAGUGGCAGACGGGUAAGUAAUGUCUGGGCAAAUGCAUGAUGGAGGGGGAUAACUACUGGAAACGGUAGCUAAUACCGCAUACUAUCGGAUGUGCCCAGAUGGGAUUAGCUAGUGGGUGGGGUAAAGGCUCACAUAGGCGAGGAUCCCUAGCUGGUCUGAGAGGAGGACGAGCACACCUGGAACGGAGACACGCUCCAGACUCCUACGGGAGGAAGCAGGGGGGAAUAUUGGACAAGGGGCGCAAGCCUGAUGCAGCCAUGCCGCGGGUAUGAAGAAGGCCUUCGGUUUGUAAAGUACUUUCAGCGGGGAGGCGUUACCCGCAGAAGAAGCACCGGCUAACUCCGUGCCAGCAGCCGCGGUAAUUC